CCUACGGGUGGCAGCAGUGAGGAAUAUUGGUCAAUGGACGCAAGCCUGAACCAGCCAAGCCGCGUGCAGGAAGACGGCUCUACGAGUUGUAAACUGCUUUUGUACGAGGGUAAACGCAGAUACGUGUACCUGUCUGAAAGUAUCUUACGAAUAAGGAUCGGCUAACUCCGUGCCAGCAGCCGCGGUAAUACGGAGGAUUCGAGCGUUAUCCGGAUUUAUUGGGUUUAAAGGGUGCGUAGGCGGUCGGAUAAGUCAGGGGUGAAAUCCCGAGGCUCAACUGCGGAAUUGCCUCUGAUACUGGUCGGCUAGAGAGUAGGUGCGGUAGGCGGAAUGUGUGGUGUAGCGGUGAAAUGCUUAGAGAUCAUACAGAACACCGAUUGCGAAGGCAGCUUACCAAGCUACUUCUGACAUUGAGGCACGAAAGCGUGGGUAGCAAACAGGAUUAGAUACCCCAGUAGUC
rnacentral:rRNA from 1 species